GUAGGGAAUAUUGCGCAAUGGGGGAAACCCUGACGCAGCGACGCCGCGUGAGUGAUGAAGGCCUUCGGGUCGUAAAGCUCUGUUGCAGGGGAAUAAAAAAAUGAAGGUACCCUGUGAGGAAGGAUCGGCUAACUUCGUGCCAGCAGCCGCGGUAAGACGAGGGAUCCUAGCGUUGCUCGGAAUCAUUGGGCGUAAAGAGGGCGUAGGUGGCUUGGUAAGUCAGGUGUGAAAGCCCAGGGCUCAACCCUGGAAGUGCAUUUGAUACUGCUGAGCUUGAGUGUCGGAGAGGUUACCGGAAUACCCGGUGUAGUGGUGAAAUACGUAGAUAUCAGGUGGAACACCGGAGGCGAAGGCGGGUAACUGGACGAACACUGACACUGAGGCCCGAAAGCGUGGGGAUCAAACAGGAUUAGAUACCCUAGUAGUCC
rnacentral:rRNA from 1 species